UUAUUGUAAAUAAAUUAUUUAAUUUCCUUUUGUAUAAGGAUUAGUCAAAAAUCAGAAAUAUUUCUAAUAAAGAAAAUUAGUGAUUUAUUUUCAUAAAAAAUAUACAUAACAUGUAUGAAAAAUAUGAAAUUAAAAUUUUGUGACAUGCAUUACACUAAUGAAUAUCUUUUUAUUUUAAUCUUUUAGGUUAAUCUAAAACGUUUAACUAGUAGACAUUCAAUUAAAGGAUUAGAAGUAUCCUAUUUAAAUUUUUAUAAUAAAAAUUUGAUUACAAAAAAAUCCAAAACAAUAAUUUUAGAAAAAUCAAAUCUAAAAUAAUAAUGACUAAGUGAGUAAACACAAUAGAAUUUAUUAAUUAAAACUCUACAAUUAAUAUUCUACUGUUUAUUAAAAACAUUUUAAUAUUACUAUAUUAUAUAUUCCUGCCCACUGAUACAUUUAAAUGGCCGCAGUAAUCUGACUGUGCUAAGGUAGCAUAAUCACUUGUUUAAUAAUUUUAAACUAGAAUGAACGGAAAAAAGCAAUAUUAAUUUUUAAUUAAUAAAUCCAGUUUAAAUCAUUCAAAAAGUGAAAAAACUUUUUGUAACUAUAAAAACGAGAAGACCCUAGAAAUUUUCAUUUUAGUUGGGACAAUUUAUUUAAUUAAAUAUAAAUACCCUUCAUACAAUUGAAAUAAAUUAAAUUACUCUAGGGAUAACAGCAUAAUAAUUAAAAAGAGACCUAAUCUAAAUAGUUGAUUGUGACCUCGAUGUUGAAUCAUUUUAUAGUGAAAUUUGCAGCAGAAUUUUACUAAUCGUCUGUUCGACGACUAAGAAUUACGUGAUUUGAGUUUAAACCGUCGUAAGACAGGUUGGAUUCUCUUUUAUAGUUAUAUAUUAACGUUUGUAUUAGUACGAAAGGAUCAUACAAACUAUUUAAAUAAUUAACAAUGACAAAAUUAAGUAUUACA
rnacentral:rRNA from 1 species